rnacentral:rRNA from 1 species
AGUGAACGCUGGCGGUAGGCCUAACACAUGCAAGUCGAACGGCAGCACAGUAAGAGCUUGCUCUUACGGGUGGCGAGUGGCGGACGGGUGAGGAAUACAUCGGAAUCUACUUUUUCGUGGGGGAUAACGUAGGGAAACUUACGCUAAUACCGCAUACGACCUACGGGUGAAAGCAGGGGAUCUUCGGACCUUGCGCGAUUGAAUGAGCCGAUAUCGGAUUAGCUAGUUGGCGGGGUAAAGGCCCACCAAGGCGACGAUCCGUAGCUGGUCUGAGAGGAUGAUCAGCCUCACUGGAACUGAGACACGGUCCAGACUCCUACGGGAGGCAGCAGUGGGGAAUAUUGGACAAUGGGCGCAAGCCUGAUCCAGCCAUACCGCGUGGGUGAAGAAGGCCUUCGGGUUGUAAAGCCCUUUUGUUGGGAAAGAAAAGCAGCAGGUUAAUACCCCGCUGUUCUGACGGUACCCAAAGAAUAAGCACCGGCUAACUUCGUG